rnacentral:rRNA from 1 species
UACGAUGAGGCCGAGCGUUAUCCGGAUUUAUUGGGUUUAAAGGGUGCUAGGCGGACUUACAAGUCAGUGGUGAAAUCUCCCCGCUCAACGGGGAAACUGCCAUUGAAACUAUUUGUCUUGAGUACAUUUGAGGCGGGCGGAAUGUGUCAUGUAGAGGUGAAAUUCUUAGAUAUGACACAGAACACCAAUUGCGAAGGCAGCUCGCUAAACUGUAACUGACGCUGAGGCACGAAAGCGUGGGUAGCAAACAGG